AAAGUUUUAUCUUGUUUAACCAGGUUGUACUUGUACCCUAAAGAUCAGAGACUUGUACUAUUUCUUUAGUUUGAGUUGCAGUUGUCGAGCAGAUUCGUUAGGACGAUCGUAAAUUAAAAAUAUAUUAAUUAUAUGCAUAUUAACAUAUUUAUUUCGUUUUGUGAACAGCACGACGAAGAUAGUGAAAUCACACUGCUAUUAUUAGCCUUUUGUAAUCAUGACCCCUUUUUUUAAUUCAAC
rnacentral:lncRNA from 1 species